ACCCAUGGAUGGCUCCGUUGGUAGAGCAUGAGGCUCUGGAUCUCAGGGAUGUGGGUUCGAGUCCCACGUUGGGCA